AAUGCGGGGAUGUUGGGGGAUGGGGGAAAGGAAGGAGGGCGUUCUAGUCUCCCUGCGGCCCCUUCCAGAAUCUGGUAAUAAAGGGAGUGGACGGGGUUCGCUUUCUAGGGUCUCGAAUCUCACUCUGGUAGACAACCUGAUGAGGAGGCAUCUCGGGCUCAUUUCUCCGGGCUCCUGAGAAUGGACGUGGGGUCGCGCAGAGUCCUGUUGGUGUCUCCAUUUUUUAUUUCCUUUGUUAGAUAAAUACGUGCGCAUUAGCACACAGGAUAGGGCAGAGAAGGACCCGGGUCAUACCCCCUAAUUCUACAAGUCUUCAACCUGGCCAGAAGUCAUCUUGGCUUCCUACAAGUUUUGCCUGUAUGCCUGACAGGUCUUACCAAACUGGAAAGGCCUUUCAUAUGGGCUUGGUAGCAGAUUGUGUGGGAACCACCAGCCUAGCCAAGUUUAGAAAGGUUCACAACCAUUUUGGCUGCCCUGUGCUGAAUUGUUUUAAACCACGGUUAUUCUUGAAGGUCUACAACCCUAUAUAGUAAGUGGACGGAAAUGUACAUGAUAUCAAUUAAAUCACAGAUUUUUUAAGUACCGAAGGUUAUGUUGUUGUUUUUUUCUACAAAAGCUACCAAAAUUUUUUUGCCCAUUUUUCUGUUUAACUUAAGGUUUUCUGAGAAUCAUAAAGAAAAUCAAGUUUGUCACUUUUAUGUUAGAUUUGAUGAACAAUAAAAAUAGUGAUGGUUUCUGAAUAUAAAUUUAAAAUUUUAAGUUGUAGCAAGUUCAUCUGAAUAAAUAUGUAAUAAAGAAUUUCAAUUGAGCUGGAUUUAAACUAAUACAGAGUAGCUAAGAGACAGGCAACUUAGACUUCAUGUCUGAACUUAAGGAAACUAUCAGACUUUUUGACUAAAUAGGAAUAAUUAAAAUCAAUGAACAUUGAUUUACCAAAGGAAGCAUUUCUACUUGGAAUAUAUAGUAUUACCCUUUCAUUUUGUGCUGACUUUAAAAAAUUAACAAUUGGCCUUGGAAUUAUUUUCCUUUAGGUGACUUAGUCCUAAUUACAAUAAGACCACUCUUUCAUCUGGAAUAGAAAAAUCUGAUAUGGAGGUUUACCUCGAGUUUCUGGGAAAGAGCCAGAAAUCUCUUUAUUUUCUUUUCUUCUUAAAUGAAUUCCCUUCUUUUUGACUCCUUUUUUAUUUUUAAAUUAUUUUUAGAAUCAAAAAAUCAUAAGAUGCUAUAUAAUAGGAUCACUGUAGGUCAAAUAUAUUUUAUUGAUUUUGUCCCAAGACCUUUGGAAGUGGAACAUAUUAAUACAGUACUAAUUUUUGUCUUUCUGUUUGGACUAACAAAUCACAAUUGACAGAUUUCAAAUGAAAAGAGGUCUAGAUAAAUUAUGUGAUUCUGUUUUGCUUUUUUUUUGCAUGUUUUGCAUAUAGGCAUGUUUGAUAGCCAUUUGAUGUUACCAAUUUAAUUUCAAGUGAAUAUACUGAGGCAGAUAACUGCUUGUUUAUGGUAUUCUCUUUUUUUAUCUUGGAUAACUAGUGCAGAGUAGCUGUGCAAAACAAAAUCAGACUAUUUAUGGGACAGGCAGGAUCUUGGGAGUAGGUUUAGGUUAAGCCUAUUGUUAGCAAUAAUGGAAAAAACAGCAGCUGUCCUUUUCACUCUUCCUUUAGUGUUCCCAUAAUACUCAGUUUCAUGUUUCCUUUUUACUAAGCCUUUGCAAAAACUGAAUCACCUAUCUCUAGACUUUUAAAGUAGUAGCUGAGUUACCUGUAGCUGCAGGGAGGUUUGUAAGUCCAUCAAAAUUAGCCUCACCUGUAUAUGCAGCAGGUAGCAGCAGCAUCUGAUUUUCAUAUCUCAUGCCCCAGAACAGCUACACUUAGGGAAUCACAUGAUCUUCCAGAUCUAGAUUUCUCCUUAGUCCCAUGAGCCCUACCCCAACUCCACCUAACAAUACUGACCUUAUUCUCAUCUAGUAUUACACCAUCCUCAAUGUGGUUAGUCUUACUAGCUACCUCCUUGCACUGGAUAUUGUGUUUUGGGGUGUGGUCCAGGUGGCCCUUUCCAGUAACCUGUUAGUUCCUGCUUGCCAAUGAAGGCCUUGGUAGCAGUCAUCCAUGGGUCUCCCCUACCAGAUGCUGCAUCAAUACUUGGGAUUUCCCUUCAUAGCAUAUGCCCAGACCUCUUUGGAUUUUAAUUCCGAGGUCAUGAGUUUACAAUCCUGGCUGUGAUCCUUGUUCCCCAUGAGUACUCAGAUAAAUCUUUGGACCUCUCUGAACCUCAUCCUCAUCUGUAAAAUCACAGAGCUGAACUAGAAGUUCCUUCCAGCUCUAAAUUUAUUAUCUUUGAUCCAGAGACCGGGCUACAUCACCAAUUACAUUUUUUACAACAUUAAGAAAUUUACAAAGAAGCUAAGGCCCCUGUCCAAAGAAACUUAUAAUCUAAUAGAGAUAAAACAUGCAUAAAGUGGGAUUGUAAUACAAAUUAGAAUGUUUUGAUCAGAUAAUUAUGUCAUUUCUAGACCUAUCAUUUCAUUAUCAAUGGAGGAGAUAUGGUAAAUGUUUUUUUGAAUGGAAAAGCAAAUUUCUUUAGAAUACUCUGGGAUCAACUAUAGGUAGAUGUGUUUCUAGUCAAGUAUAUGGUGUUUCAUGUGAUCACCAGUUACAGUCCCUUAGCUUGGCAGGUUCAGAAAGCCAAUACUGUUAAUAGGGGAAUCCAUCCAGAAAGCAAGUUGGUUUGAAGGCUAAGACGGAAAUUGGCUUUGGUUGUAUUGUACUGUAUUAAGAGGAUGUUGGGCUACAUAAAGUGAAAAUAUCCAGUGACAAAUUAUAAAUUAGGGACUGGAGCUUGAGAGAGAGGGUCAUAAGAAAAUCAGUUGUGUUAUAUCUGAGAGAGAUGAACUGAAUAUUAGAAAACAGGUUGGUAAGAGUGAUGGGUGAGAACUGGGGCACAAUCCAGUACUUAGCAAGAACAGUAGCAGCCAGGGUUCUUUACCAACUACAGUUCAAUCUAUUUGGGAAGAAGGCAUAUGGACCAUGUAUACUCUUCCUAUUUGUGCUUGUCUUUUAAGUUAUGGUAGCAUAAAUGAAAAGCAUUUCUCCUGUUAUGUAUCAUGAAACUAAACUAGAUGAAAUAUUUUAUGUAAAAUUGUUUUCUAGACUAUCCUCUGCCAUAGCCUACUUGAACAAUGAUAAUUCAUGUUUAUGUAGUGCCUCAUGCUUUUAGGCUCAGCUGAAACACCAUCUUAUUCUUUCAUUGAUCUAUUUCCUCCAUUCUCUUCCCCCAAACUCCACUACCUUGUGCCCUUCUCCCUGGAAAAAUGCUUUGUCUUCACCUAUAUUCAGGUGUUCUACCCAGUAGGCUGUUAAAUUCCUUAAGGCAUAGGCUUCCCCUCCCCCCUCCAAGCCCUACACCUUAAAUGGUUCCUAGAACAAAAGGCAUUUUGUAUUUGUCAGUUGGUUCCCAAAACACUAUUCUCACAACACUUAUCCCCCCUCUUCACACAUGAGGAAACUGAAGCUCAGAAAGGUAACCGAUUUGCUCCCAGGGUCUCACAACGUGCCAGGAGCAGGAUUUGCUCUCAGACUCAGGCCAAUACUCUUUCCAUUAUACCACCUUCACUUAUUUUUAAAUCCACAUGAAGAGUUAAAAUGAUGUUAAAUAUUGUAUUUGUUUGGCAUCUUAUUAGAUACUUUAUAGAAUACUGAAAACAUUUUCUGAGUUCUUACAAAGAUUCUUUUGCCCUUAGUCUCAAAAUUCUGCAUUAAAUUGUUACAAGGGAAUCACUUUAAAAGACUGAUAUAUAUUAAUUUAAGGUCGCCAAGGAAUCAGCUAUGUAAUUCCUAAAUGAAAAACUCAAGUCAGCCGUCAGCCUUUUUUGGAGUUUAAUUACAAUAGGAGCAAGAAAGGAAUUAGAGAUAUAUAUAGAGAGAGAAAGGGGAGAGAAGGGAAUAGGGCUUAAAUACCCCUUCUGUUUAGGCUGGGCCAAAAGGCCCAAGCCCUUAGAUAGCUGGGGCAAAGAAAAGAGAUCAGUCCCUUUCACUCACGUGUCCAAAAUGGAGAAACAGUCUCAGAGGCCCCCACCUUCAGCUUCCUUCAGAGCAAGCUUCCUCAGAACCCAGGAACCACACCGACCCAAAAACUCAAUCCUCCUCAAGUCUCCAGACCCUCCUAUCUUUAAGGAAACCAUCCAAGUUGCCUCCCCUCAGUCCUCACAUCUACCAAUCACUCUUCAUCAAUUUCCCUGUCAAUGGAGGCUCUCGCUUAACCCAGGACCGCCCAGAGGUUUCUGGCUUUUGCACAUGUCUGUUGAAGGUCAUAUUUUUCAAAUGAUUAAAUCUUUACUCUUUUGUUACAGCCCUUUCUAAAUCCUGUUAACUUGAGUAUGGUAGAGAUUGGAAUAAUUAAAUUUUGAUCUAGGCUGCAGCCCUUACUCAAUCCUAUUAGGACUGAAUAGGGUGGAGAUUUAUUCCAAGUAUCUCCAUUGUAUCAAUUCUAAAAUCAAUCAAGACUCAAAGAAAUUCCUGUUCUAUGCUUAAGCAUAGGUCAAAGUCCUUUCCAUUGUUCAGCAAAGGGUUUCUGUCCUAAAGUAAUCUUAAGAAGGGAAGAGAAGGAACCUCCCAUGCCAAUGGAGUUCCCAUUCCAAUAGACUAUCAGUAAGAAAUUUUCCAAGUAUGAAAUAUCCCAAUGGUGAAAUUUCCAACAUUUAUAAGUCUAAGGAAUUUUGAGGUUUACAAAAUUCAGGGACCCUGUGAUCGUACUUUUCCCUCACUGGCAUCAUCAGUUCUAAAGUUUCUAUUAUCAUGACAGUAAAGUUGCUUGAACACUGUGCCAUCUUAAAAAGUGAAACUUUAGAAAUUCAGAAGGUGGAAUUUCCUAAGAAACUCCAGCCCAAAGCCCAAUAGUAUUGUCUGUUUAUCUUGUGCACUGUGUACACAUUGAAUAAAGGUUCUCUUCUCCAAAAACUGUUAAGAAAAAUAUCAAAAUUCUGUCUGGCCAUAGGAGUCAAUAAAGAUAAAAACUAGCUACAAAUUUAGGACUUGGAAUAAGGGCUGUACUCUUAAUACUGCUAGGAAAACUAGAGCUUAAAACACAUGAAGGUAGGUAGCAUUCAGACUUGUUAAGUCAGAGGCAGUAGAUAAAACUGAAAUUGAGGCUCAUGACAACAAUGAUAGGCACUGAUAACGGCAAGUUUCAGGGACUCUGUACAGAAUAUAGAACAGAUAAGGAGUGAGCAUCAUAGCUAAAUAGAAUGCAAGACUCCAAAAAUAUCUUAAAAGAUUUAAAUCCCUUUAUUUUAAGCCUAGAGAUUUGCUCAGUCAGUGAAAUGGCAGAACUAGGACUUAAGAUAGCUAAUGUUCAGGGUUUUCAUUUGUUUGCAAAAGUUGGCAGUUAUUUGCAAAAUAUACAGUUCUGAUGAAUAAGAGGCAGUAUUUAAGGGAGAGGAGGAGAAUUAAAACAGGUCAGAAGAAAGUGGUCUGGACAGAUAUUUUCCCCAGGCUGAAAUUCAAAGUUUUUACAAGAAAUGCUUAUCAGGAUAGCUCAAUAGAACUUACAGUGGAUUAGCAGCUAAAGGAAUUCUUUUGGUGUGGGCCUCAUCUUUUAAAAAAAAUUUCUUCUUAAAAGGGAGCAAUUCAGUGAGAAAGAAGAGAGUUCUAGAAAGUCCUACUUUUAGACACUACAAUUGGUAUGAAAAUGUUUAGGUUGCAAAGGCCUUGAGAAUCGGGAUUGUUUCCUUCUGUUCACAGUGUGUGGACCCUUAGUAGGUACUUAAUAAUAUACUUAAUCAUAUUGAUGGGGGUGGGUGAAGAAAAUGAUGCCAUCGAGAUCAGGGGCUUAGAUUCAUUCUAAUUAUGCCAUGUUUAUCAAGGAAAAGCAUUUUAUUACAUAAUCUGGAAACUUGUACUUGACUGACUUGAUUUGUCAUUUAGGUGAAUUACUCUUCCAUUUAUUUACUUGUUAGAUGGGAAUACUGUCACCAAAUUAGAGGCACUUUUUAGCCUCAGUGGAUUGCCUGCUGAUCUAUCCCAUGGAUGCAAACAACCCCAAUUUAUGAAGCACUUAACAAAAAGCCCUCAGUGAAUAUAAACUUACUGCACCUAUAGCAUCCUUUAAAAUUUGGAAACUGUUUCAGAAGUUAACAAUAAGUUAGAAAUUCUGGCCUUGGAAAAACUAAAUAGCUUGGCCCUGGAACCCCCUUAUCUAAUGAGUUUCAGCUCCUCCGGGGGAGGGGGCAAGUGCCUCAGUUCUGGGACAAGGUCAAGGGAACAAACCCAAUAAGUUUGCAAAGUCAGCUGUGGGGUGGGGUUGGGGGUGGUCAGACUCUGUGCCUCCUUAUCUUUCUCCUUUGCCCCAUCAACCAGUUAUAGUGCUCAAAGAUUCCAAAACCUAGAUCUGGGAAUUGAGGAAACUGGCAGCAGCCUGCUUUUAUCUAGAACUUGGGGAAAGCAAGGAGAAUUGGUGAAGCCUUACUGUGACCCAAGUCAAGAAGUUCUUUAUCAAAAAAGAAAAGAUGUGAACUAGGCCAUUUUUUUGACUGGACCUCCAAAAGUUAAUCUGAAGCUAUGAGGGCUUGCUUUGACAGUUGGUGGAUGCCAGCUUCCAAAGAUGUAAGGAAAAUCUCCAAUAAAUCUCAUUUGGAAAUGAUAAUCUUUGUUUCCCUUUAUUGUGAAUGCCAGUUUGCACAAUAAUUGCUCAUUUAGUCAAAGGUUUGUUAUGUAAACCUAAGAAAAGGAGGACAAGAUAUUACUACUUGUAUUCUUGAACCUAAAAUAAAAUUAAUUCACAAGUUCAGUUUCAGUUGUACAUGGUCUGUAUAUAUAUCCCUUUUCACUACUCAGUGGUGUUUCCCAAAGCAAUCCUUGGUCCUUUGCUUUUCUCUUUAACUUAAUUUCCUUUUAGAGAAUUUCCAGCAGUCUUCAGGAUAUAUGACUUGAAUGCCACUACUGGUCACCUAAAAGCAAUGGCCAAAAAAAUUAUAUUCCUAAACAGCCUUCCUCUCUCAACCCAUUUCUGAUGCUCCCACCAUUAUUCCAGUCAUUUAGAUUUGAAACUUUGUGUUCUUGUCUCCUUCCUCUCAUAUCCAGUAGAUUGAAUUCUGCCUUCUUUUGAAAUGUCUCUUUCACAAAUGUGUUCCUUGCCAUUCCCACUUCCUGGUCAAAGCCAUAAUUUAUCAUGUCAUAACACUACUACUUGAAUAGUUUAGUAUGGUUGAUGGGCCUUCUGGCUUUUCUGUUAUCCUUUGAGAAUACUUUUUCCUAAACAUCAGUUUCUUUCAUUAUGUUAACCAAAUUCUAAAUUAUAAGAAAAAUUGGCAUCCCGUUUAAAAUCUAAAAAAGAAUGUUACAGUACAGAAAAAGGGAAAUAAUUAAUCUACACAUUCAUUGUCCUCAAGUACUUAGUGCUGUUAUAAAGGAAAACAGGGUGAGAUGUAUUUAAUGUUGCCUCAGAAAGCAUAACGUAUGAGAUAUAGGGAAAUAUUCCUGACAAACGAAGAAUGGCUGUCUUGCAUCUUAGUUUUAUUCAAGUAGAUUUUCUAAGAAACAUUCAAGACCUGUUUUGUGUGACUUUACAUGUAUCAUUGAUAUCACAUUGCUUGCUUUAUCAAGGUUUGUCAAGGAAUUGGAAAGAAUUUGAAACUCAAAUGAAUUUUUUUUUGAACAUGUAAUUGAAAAAUAUUUAACAACAUAAAUCAAAACAUGGGGGAGGGAACCAUAGUAAUAAGCUUUUUAAAAAUAUGCAAAUAACUUUGAAAAGCUGGAGCAUGUUCAAAGGAGAGUAACCAGUGCUGCUCUGUAUGUGUAUAAACAUACAAACUCCAGAUCAUGCUGUACAAGUUAUCAAUUGAAGAAACUGAACCUUUUCAAUCUAGAGAAAUUAAGAGGAGUUAGUUGUCUUUUUAAAUAUUUUGAUGGGCUGUCAUCAAGUGGAAUAUUGCAGAUUUCUUGGCUUUGUCCCAAAGGGCAGAACUAGCAGAGGCUAGUCAAUGAAAUUACAAUUUUCCAAAUAAUUAUUUUCCUAAUGUAGAUUAAUUAGGCUGCCUCAAAAAAAGUAAGACAUUUCCUACCACUGAGUAUCAACCAGAAAAUAACUAUAGAUAUAUCAUAGUUCUGUGAUCUAGGACAGUUCCAAAGAAACUGGGUUGAAAAAUGCUAUUCACCUUAAAAGAACUGAUGUUUUUUUUUUUGUUUUGUGGUCUGUUUUUCUUUGCAACAUGACUAAUAGGGACAUAUUUUGCAUGACUAUACAUAUGUAAUCUAGGCCAAAUUUCUUGCCUUUAGGAAUGAGAUGGGAAAGAAUAUGGACCUCAACAUUUUAAAAACGUUAUAUUUUUACAUGAAUUUGAGAAUAAAACGUUGAGGAAAAAAAGAAAAUAAUGAGGUAUCUCCCAAUUCUAAUCUAGUUGAACUCUGUUGGCUAAGAAGCCCCAAAUGAGACAUCUCAGCCUACCUAUUCAAGGAUAGGUUCUAAUGACACCCAGGCCAUCAAAAAUUAGUUUAUUCUAAUUUAAUUAAUUUUAAAAAGUUGGUUUAGGGGGCAAAUGGGUGGCUCAGUGGAUUGAGAGCCAGGCCUAGAUAUGGGAGAUCUUGGGUUCAAAUCCAGCCUCAGGCACUUCAAAGCUGUGUGACCCUGGGCAAGUUACUUAACCCCCUCUGCCUAGCCCUUACCACUCUUUUGCCUUGGAACCAAUACCCAGUAUUGACAAAAGAUCAAAAGAUAAGGGUUUAAAAAAUUGUUUAAAAACAACAAGAAAAGUGUAUGUACUCACAUAUUGAGACAAGCACAGAAAUGUUAAGAAUAGAACUAAAUGCUGUUAAAAGGCCAUGAGAAGGCAGUUCUUUCACUUACUGGCAAGGCAGGAAAAAGUCUCUGGGAGUGAAAACUGCAUAUAUCAGACAUUUUAGAUAUUGAUAUCACUGAAUAUUUCUUUUUUUUGUUUCAAAGGACCGCUCUCUGGAAGGUAUGGGGGGAAGGAUAUACUGAGAAAUAAAUCGCGUAAACUUCCAAUGACACAAUAAGCAUUAAUUAUGUGCUUCCUAGGUACUAGGCAUUAAAACCAGUGAUCACUGCUGACAAUACUAUUUUAUUUUGUACCUUUUUAAGGCAUUUAUGUAAUGUAUUUAUAGCUAUCUUUGUGUUUCACACUACCCUACUUUUAAACUCUGAGCUCUAUGAAACCACAGUAAAGUUUAAGUAAUUGUAAUUACAAAAGUCCCCUUUGGAUGGUGACCCGGUAAACCCAUGACCUCUCAAGAUAUGUGAUCCAUAAUAAAUUUUUAUUUUUUUCUUUCACCUUUCUUUCUUUCUU